rnacentral:lncRNA from 1 species
AGAAAUUAAAAAUGAUCGACCACCACUAGUAUGCAAUGACCACCACUAGUAUGCGUAAGAGGAAUAGGUCCUGUAUGAUGAGAAACAAAAACAAACCGUUAGACAUGAUGCUUUUUUGAGAUUAUUAUGGGACUGUUUACACGGGAUCAAAUUUAAAAAGUAUUUUUUUCUUUCUUUCUUUUUUUCCUUUUCUUCUCUAAGACACCGCACCUCCCCAACCAUGGUCACUACCUUUGCCGUGCUCUCUGGCUACUGUGCAGCCGCGAGUAUCCCGUUCAUCAUCUUCCUCCCCGCGAACAAGAUCUCCACCGCGACAUCUCGUUUUGAUUUAUUAGGGGAUUUUGACUUUGAUUCUAACAUGCAACCAAUAAACCAAUAACCCAAGAAAUUGGAGGUACACUUACGAGAAUGAGAGCCACCAUGUUCAUCCACAUCGGUAAGCAUGAAGUAGACAGUUUGCCACCACAAUCGCAUCAAUAACUCCUACAUCGUCAGGGAUAUGUCGAGCCACUUUGCAACUGUGCCAGUUUCCCUUCCCUCAAAACCCCAAAAUUUUC